UUAAGCGCACUGCAUUGUCUCUCUCCACUUCUUAGGAAUUGGGUAGGAUGUGAACAUUUGGUUUUAUCUCUGGGAUUCGGAUUUCGCGAUGCGCAAGCGACAAAGAAAAAGUUGGGGAGAAGAAAAUUAGAGUAAGACAGAUUAAGAAGAAAACAGAUAUACAGGACAUCAUAGCAGGAUGCCACUUGCACGCCCUUCCCUCGCGAAUUUUACUGUCCGAAGUUAACAUCCGAGAGAGAGAGAGAGAGAGAGAGAGAGAUGAGGAUGAGUGCAAGAGCAGAUGGAGAAGAAGCACUCCGACCUGAAAAGCUUCGACCAGAGAAAUCUGCCUCCCACUGAUCCUCAGUACACCAUGAAUAACACAGAGCCACAUAUUCAGAAUAAGGUGGGUAAAGACAGCAUCACCAACCAAUACAGGAAGGUGGUUAAGGCAAACCCAAGCCCAGUAGAAAAGGAAGCUGAUUCACAACAAUCACCCAUAAAUCCAGAUUCUUCUUUAGUGUCCCCUGCACUGUGCACAGAGAUCAAGAUCAGCACCAUCAAGAAAGAGAAGGACACCAGUGAGACUGAGGCAAGUCCUCGAGGUGAUGCCGAGAGUGAAUCAGCAAAAGCUAAGUUGUAUGAGUUAUGUGCUGCAAACAAGUGGAAGCUCCCUUGCUUUGAGUGCUACAAAGAGGAAGGUCCAAGCCACUCGAGACAAUUCUCAUUCAAAGUAAUUACAGAGGUUAAAGAUGAAUCCCGAGUUACAUUAUUAGAGUGCUUUAGCGCACCUAGGUCAAAGAAAAAAGCCGCCGCAGAGCAUGCAGCUGAAGGGGCGCUCUGGUACCUGAAGCAUCUAGGGUAUUGUUCGAAGGAAAGGUGAAAAGAAAACUCUAGCCCUUGGUGAACCCUGACGUUUGUUGCAAUGGCGCUAUCAUUUGGUAGAGAUGAUCGGAGUCAUUGUCUUAUGACUUGAUAGCACAAUCCAGAAGAAUGAUGACAUCUGGUUCUUCCUACCACGCUUGGACUUCUUGACAUGCGAAAUCCCUGCAAAUAUCAUACGUGCUUAAUUAAUCAGGUACCAUGUCCGUAAGGUGGGUUUGCCUUGUUGAAGGAUGUUCUAGAGGUGCGGCAGCAGCACCAACUCAAGAACUGAGUCAUCAUCUCCUUCUUCUUCCUAUUUUCCCUUUUGAGAGCACAAGUUCAGCUAGAUGAAAGAAAAGUCUGACUAAAGACCAAGGUCACUGGUGGCUGGAGGCCGUGCAACGUGCGUUGAUCCCUUGCCCACUGAGCCUCUCUUUCUUCUUUUCCAUAAUCUUUCUUUGUUGUGAAAGCCGUCUGCAUAGGAAAAAUAUAUGCAGUGAUAAGCAAGCUACAAAUGACAGACUGCAAGAGAGGCAUAAUGUGUGAAGCUCUGUGCAAACAGUUCUUGUUUGCUAACUUCCUUCUCAUAAGUGAAAAGCAUGAUGAAUACCUACCUUAUUCUGCAGUAAGUUAUCCCAAGCCCUGCCGCUCAGUGCAUAUCGGAUGAUGAACUUGAGAAUAUCUAGAGGGAUAUAAAAGAUAAUGCUGUACAGCCAUAUAACACCAGCCCAUCCCCAGCCGAUGCCGUGUAUUCUCGCAAAACCCCAAUUUGCAUAGACAGCUAGGAGAGUUGCAAUCUGAUAAAGCAUAAACCAGAUCAAUGAAUCAUCAGCCUGUUACCGUUCAGUAGUAGUAUAUAAGUUAUCAUCAUCAAGUUUUCAUUCCUCACCAGUUGUGCAGCAACGAAGGCUGACAUAAGCAGGAGACCUGGGCGUUCAAUGUAUGACCAACUGCGAGAUCGAGUAACAAAGAUGAGUGCCUGGCUCACAAUACUCACUUGGAGGUAGACAGCUGCUGUAAGCUCAUCAGGAUUGUUCCUAAUUGACCUCACGCCAAAUUUGUCCUGUGAAGUCACGUGGUGAGUUUAAGACUUCAUUCAUAAAGGAGAAAGACCAAGUUGCAAGUAAUUUACAUGUGCAAUUCAAAAGGAAGCAUUCAUUCCUGGGACUAUUUUGAUAAUUAUCCUUUUGAUUUAACAUAAAAGCUUACCGAGAAGAAGUCGGUUUUAUGUGCAGCCCAGAAGAAAACAACAGUCAUAACAGCUAAGUAGGUUCCAAGAACAACGCCAGUAGCAAAAAUCUCCUUGAGCUUCCAGGAGUCAGGUACGGGAGAUGGCUUCACCCUAUCUUUAGAGAUGGUCAUGAUGGUUCCAUCAUUCAAUAUGGCAAUGAUUAACACCAUGAAAGGUGAGAAAUCAUACUUCCAUAUAAGAGCAAGCAACAGAAAACCCAGCACAAUACGGAUUGUAAUUGAGACUGCAUAAAUGGUGUAAUUUUUCAUUCUCUGGAAGAUCGCUCUGCUUGUUAAGACAGCACUGACAAUCACACUCAACCCUGGCUCCGUAAGUACUAUGUCAGAUGCGCCUCGGGCAGCAUCAGUUGCAUCAGCAACAGCAAUUCCAAUGUCUGCCUUCUUCAAAGCUGGUGCAUCAUUCACACCAUCACCAGUCAUCCCGCAUAUGUGCUUCCUUUCUUGUAGCCUCUUCACAAUCUCGUACUUGUGCUCUGUUUGUUUUGUCACAAGACAUUUAGUAUCUUUCAUUCACUACGAUAGCAAAGUUUUAUCAAAGGAAAUAAGAACUUGCAUGUAAAA